rnacentral:rRNA from 1 species
UACGUAGGGUGCGAGCGUUUGUCCGGAAUUACUGGGCGUAAAGAGCUCGUAGGUGGUUUGUCGCGUUGUUCGUGAAAUGCCACAGCUUAACUGUGGGCGUGCGGGCGAUACGGGCAGACUGGAGUACUGCAGGGGAGACUGGAAUUCCUGGUGUAGCGGUGGAAUGCGCAGAUAUCAGGAGGAACACCGGUGGCGAAGGCGGGUCUCUGGGCAGUAACUGACGCUGGAGGAGCGAAAGCGUGGGGAGCGAACAGG